rnacentral:rRNA from 1 species
GACGAACGCUGGCGGCGUGCUUAACACAUGCAAGUCGAACGGAAAGGCCCUGCUUUUGUGGGGUGCUCGAGUGGCGAACGGGUGAGUAACACGUGAGUAACCUGCCCUUGACUUUGGGAUAGCUUCAGGAAACUGGGGCUAAUACCGGAUAGGAGCUCCUGCUGCAUGGUGGGGGUUGGAAAGUUUCGGCGGUUGGGGAUGGACUCGCGGCUUAUCAGCUUGUUGGUGGGGUAGUGGCUUACCAAGGCUUUGACGGGUAGCCGGCCUGAGAGGGUGACCGGCCACAUUGGGACUGAGAUACGGCCCAGACUCCUACGGGAGGCAGCAGUGGGGAAUAUUGCACAAUGGGCGGAAGCCUGAUGCAGCAACGCCGCGUGCGGGAUGACGGCCUUCGGGUUGUAAACCGCUUUCGCCUGUGACGAAGCGUGAGUGACGGUAAUGGGUAAAGAAGCACCGGCUAACUACGUGCCAGCAGCCGCGGUGAUACGUAGGGUGCGAGCGUUGUCCGGAUUUAUUGGGCGUAAAGGGCUCGUAGGUGGUUGAUCGCGUCGGAAGUGUAAUCUUGGGGCUUAACCCUGAGCGUGCUUUCGAUACGGGUUGACUUGAGGAAGGUAGGGGAGAAUGGAAUUCCUGGUGGAGCGGUGGAAUGCGCAGAUAUCAGGAGGAACACCAGUGGCGAAGGCGGUUCUCUGGGCCUUUCCUGACGCUGAGGAGCGAAAGCGUGGGGAGCGAACAGGCUUAGAUACCCUGGUAGUCCACGCUGUAAACGGUGGGUACUAGGUGUGGGGUCCAUUCCACGGGUUCCGUGCCGUAGCUAACGCUUUAAGUACCCCGCCUGGGGAGUACGGCCGCAAGGCUAAAACUCAAAGGAAUUGACGGGGCCCCGCACAAGCGGCGGAGCAUGCGGAUUAAUUCGAUGCAACGCGUAGAACCUUACCUGGGUUUGACAUGGAUCGGGAGCGCUCAGAGAUGGGUGUGCCUCUUUUGGGGUCGGUUCACAGGUGGUGCAUGGCUGUCGUCAGCUCGUGUCGUGAGAUGUUGGGUUAAGUCCCGCAACGAGCGCAACCCUUGUUCACUGUUGCCAGCACGUUAUGGUGGGGACUCAGUGGAGACCGCCGGGGUCAACUCGGAGGAAGGUGGGGAUGACGUCAAGUCAUCAUGCCCCUUAUGUCCAGGGCUUCACGCAUGCUACAAUGGCUGGUACAGAGAGUGGCGAGCCUGUGAGGGUGAGCGAAUCUCGGAAAGCCGGUCUCAGUUCGGAUUGGGGUCUGCAACUCGACCUCAUGAAGUCGGAGUCGCUAGUAAUCGCAGAUCAGCAACGCUGCGGUGAAUACGUUCCCGGG